rnacentral:tRNA from 1 species
AAGAUUUUAAGUUAAGUAAACUAAAGAUUUUCAAAAUCUUAUAUAAAUAUUAGAAUUUAAAUCUUG